CGUGCAGGCGGUUUGCUAAGUCUGAUGUGAAAGCCCGGGGCUUAACUCCGGAAGUGCAUUGGAUACUGGCUGACUAGAGGGCGAGAGAGGGAAGUGAAUUCCUGGUGUAGGGGUGAAAUCCGUAGAUAUCAGGAGGAACACCGGAGGCGAAGGCGGCUUCCUGGCUCGUUUCUGACGCUGAGACGCGAAAGCGUGGGGAGCAAACA
rnacentral:rRNA from 1 species